GCGUUCGUGGCGGAAACGGCAGACGCGCCGGCCUCAGGUGCCGGUCCCGCAAGGGGUGAGGGUUCGACUCCCUCCGAACGUAC
rnacentral:tRNA from 1 species